AGUGCCUACGGGGCGCAGCAGUAGGGAAUCUUUCACAAUGGGCGAAAGCCUGAUGGAGCAACGCCGCGUGAAGGAAGAAGGCUUUCGGGUUGUAAACUUCUUUUACCAGGGACGAAGAAAGUGACGGUACCUGGAGAAUAAGCCACGGCUAACUACGUGCCAGCAGCCGCGGUAAUACGUAGGUGGCGAGCGUUGUCCGGAUUUACUGGGUGUAAAGGGCGCGUAGGGGGGAAUGCAAGUCAGAUGUGAAAUCCAUGGGCUUAACCCAUGAACUGCAUUUGAAACUGUAUUUCUUGAGUGUCGGG
rnacentral:rRNA from 1 species